AUUGAACGCUGGCGGCAGGCCUAACACAUGCAAGUCGAGCGGAUGAAGGGAGCUUGCUCCUGGAUUCAGCGGCGGACGGGUGAGUAAUGCCUAGGAAUCUGCCUGGUAGUGGGGGAUAACGUCCGGAAACGGGCGCUAAUACCGCAUACGUCCUGAGGGAGAAAGUGGGGGAUCUUCGGACCUCACGCUAUCAGAUGAGCCUAGGUCGGAUUAGCUAGUUGGUGGGGUAAAGGCCUACCAAGGCGACGAUCCGUAACUGGUCUGAGAGGAUGAUCAGUCACACUGGAACUGAGACACGGUCCAGACUCCUACGGGAGGCAGCAGUGGGGAAUAUUGGACAAUGGGCGAAAGCCUGAUGCAGCCAUGCCGCGUGUGUGAAGAAGGUCUUCGGAUUGUAAAGCACUUUAAGUUGGGAGGAAGGGCAGUAAGUUAAUACCUUGCUGUUUUGACGUUACCAACAGAAUAAGCACCGGCUAACUUCGUG
rnacentral:rRNA from 1 species